rnacentral:rRNA from 1 species
CAAUAGCGUAUAUUAAAGUUGUUGCAGUUAAAAAGCUCGUAGUUGGAUUUCUGGUAGGAGUGACCGUUCCGAACUUGAUUGUUCGUGUAUUGUGUUUUCUCCAGCCAUCCUUGUGGAGAACUUUUCUUGCAUUAAUUUGUAGGGAUUGGGACCCGCAUCGUUUACUGUGAAAAAAUUAGAGUGUUUAAAGCAGGCAAUCGCUUGAAUACAUUAGCAUGGAAUAAUAAGAUAGGACUUUGGUACUAUUUUGUUGGUUUGCAUACCAAAUUAAUGAUCAACAGGAACAGUUUGAGGAUAUUCGUAUGAACAUGUCAGAGGUGAAAUUCUUAGAUUUUGAUCAGACGAACUACUGCGAAAGCAUUUAUCAAGGAUGUUUUCAUUAA